GGUUGGGUUAUUUAAUGGUAGAACCAACAUGGUAUGCUGGAGACCCGGGUUCAAAUCCCGGUCCAACCG